rnacentral:rRNA from 1 species
GACGAACGCUGGCGGCGUGCCUAGUACAUGCAAGUCGAGCGCAGGAAAUCGACGGAACCCUUCGGGGGGAAGUCGACGGAAUGAGCGGCGGACGGGUGAGUAACACGUAAAGAACCUGCCCUCAGGUCUGGGAUAACCACGAGAAAUCGGGGCUAAUACCGGAUGGGUCAUCGGACCGCAUGGUCCGAGGAUGAAAGGCGCUUCGGCGUUGCCUGGGGAUGGCUUUGCGGUGCAUUAGCUAGUUGGUGGGGUAAUGGCCCACCAAGGCGACGAUGCAUAGCCGACCUGAGAGGGUGAUCGGCCACACUGGGACUGAGACACGGCCCAGACUCCUACGGGAGGCAGCAGUAGGGAAUCUUCCACAAUGGACGAAAGUCUGAUGGAGCAACGCCGCGUGAACGAUGAAGGCCUUCGGGUCGUAAAGUUCUGUUGUAAGGGAAGAACAAGUGCCGCAGGCAAUGGCGGCACCUUGACGGUACCUUGCGAGAAAGCCACGGCUAACUACGUGCCAGCCGCCGCAGUAA